GAUGAACGCUGGCGGCGUGCCUAAUACAUGCAAGUUGAGCGAACGGACGAGAAGCUUGCUUCUCUGAUGUUAGCGGCGGACGGGUGAGUAACACGUGGAUAACCUACCUAUAAGACUGGGAUAACUUCGGGAAACCGGAGCUAAUACCGGAUAAUAUUUUGAACCGCAUGGUUCAAAAGUGAAAGACGGUCUUGCUGUCACUUAUAGAUGGAUCCGCGCUGCAUUAGCUAGUUGGUAAGGUAACGGCUUACCAAGGCAACGAUGCAUAGCCGACCUGAGAGGGUGAUCGGCCACACUGGAACUGAGACACGGUCCAGACUCCUACGGGAGGCAGCAGUAGGGAAUCUUCCGCAAUGGGCGAAAGCCUGACGGAGCAACGCCGCGUGAGUGAUGAAGGUCUUCGGAUCGUAAAACUCUGUUAUUGGGGAAGAACAUAUGUGUAAGUAACUGUGCACAUCUUGACGGUACCUAAUCAGAAAGCCACGGCUAACUACGUG
rnacentral:rRNA from 1 species